GGAAGUCUUCCACAAUGGACGGAAAGUCUGAUGGAGCAACGCCGCGUGAGUGAAGAAGGGUUUCGGCUCGUAAAACUCUGUUGUUAAAGAAGAACAUAUCUGAGAGUAACUGUUCAGGUAUUGACGGUAUUUAACCAGAAAGCCACGGCUAACUACGUGCCAC
rnacentral:rRNA from 1 species